GGCUGCUGUAGAGAAUUACUGCUACCUGUUGCAUAACUGUGCUGUCCAGGAACCAGACGGAGGAAAACGCAGAGCGGUACAGGGAUCAGUGGAACAGGAACAACCCAAAGCAAGUUUCGUUGUCUAGUGUGAAAUGAAACGAACAUCAGCGUGGACACCAACCAAGAAAGACGUGCUUGGAUGCAAAAAUCAACUCCUCCUUUAACCUCAACUGAAACUGUGCAGCCGCCCUCAUCAACGAGACUUUUGGAGAAAGUUGUGUGGUCAGACAAAAACAAAGAUUGAACCUCUUGGUCAAAAAGAUAAGUA